rnacentral:rRNA from 1 species
AUCCUCCGCAUUGUAGGCUCUCGAGCUUUUCAUUGGCCUGGCUUUCGGGGUUGCGUCCCAGCAUUUAUUACACUAAACCAUCCACUAUGCUCGCCUAGAAAGGGGAAUCUGGAUAACUUUGCUGAUCGUAUGGCCCAGCGCCUGCGACGUUUCAAUUGAGUUUCUGCCCUAUCAACUUGUUGGUAAGGUAUUGGCUUACCAAGGUUGCCACGGGUAACGGGUAAUCCGGGUUCGAUUCCGGAGAGGGAGCCUGAGAAACGGCUACCACAUCCAAGGAAGGCAACAGGCGCGCAAAUUACCCAAUCUAGACAGUAGGAGGUGGUGAAGAGAAUAACUAAGUGGUGGUCCAAUGGAUCACUUGUUUGGAAUGAACGUAACUUAAGAAAUUCGAUGAGAAACAACUGGAGGGCAAGUCCUGGUGCCAGCAGCCGCGGUAAUUCCAGCUCCAGUAGUUUGCUUUAAAGUUGUUGCGUUUAAAACGCUCGUAGUUGGAUCACGCAGCAUUGCCCGGUAAUCUAUUGUGGGAGAUUGGAGGGUGGGCUCGUCUCGUACGGCCUCCCACCGAGUCCGGCAUUAGAUGUUGACGCCGAGCUUUUUCUAGUUGCACGUGAGAUAGAUGGUUGGGCCUUGAAUGCGCUGAUAUUUCUCGUCUUGCGGAGUGUGCCUUGAAUAAAACAGAGUGCUUAAAAGCAGGUCGUUGCCUGAAUGUUAUAGCAUGGAACGAACAACGUGAAUAUGUGUGCGUCUCGGGAUGGUGAUGAAUCUUUGGGUUAUUGUUGUCGGAGAUGCGCACGGGCACCCACCAAAUUUUGGUUGUUGGGUUCCAUAUACGG